rnacentral:rRNA from 1 species
UACGGGGGGAGCAAGCGUUGUUCGGAUUACUGGGCGUAAAGGGCGCGUAGGCGGUCGUGACAAGUCACUUGUGAAAUCUCCGGGCUUAACUCGGAACGGUCAAGUGAUACUGUCGGACUAGAGUACAGAAGGGGCAACUGGAAUCCUUGGUGUAGCGGUGAAAUGCGUAGAUAUCGAGAGGAACACCUGCGGCGAAGGCGGGUUGCUGGGCUGAUACUGACGCUGAGGCGCGAAAGCCAGGGGAGCGAACGGG